AGUGAACGCUGGCGGUAGGCCUAACACAUGCAAGUCGAACGGCAGCACAGUAAGAGCUUGCUCUUACGGGUGGCGAGUGGCAGACGGGUGACGAAUACAUCGGAAUCUACUUUUUCGUGGGGGAUAACGUAGGGAAACUUACGCUAAUACCGCAUACGACCUACGGGUGAAAGCAGGGGAUCUUCGGACCUUGCGCGAUUGAAUGAGCCGAUGUCGGAUUAGCUAGUUGGCGGGGUAAAGGCCCACCAAGGCGACGAUCCGUAGCUGGUCUGAGAGGAUGAUCAGCCACACUGGAACUGAGACACGGUCCAGACUCCUACGGGAGGCAGCAGUGGGGAAUAUUGGACAAUGGGCGCAAGCCUGAUCCAGCCAUACCGCGUGGGUGAAGAAGGCCUUCGGGUUGUAAAGCCCUUUUGUUGGGAAAGAAAAGCAGCAGGUUAAUACCCCGCUGUUCUGACGGUACCCAAAGAAUAAGCACCGGCUAACUUCGUG
rnacentral:rRNA from 1 species